AUGGGAAGAUUCCUUAGUACUCCGGCUCGAUGGUCCCCAAUUCAGCAACAGGUACCCCAGUAGGAUCCGUCCGCAAUCAGCUGCUUCAGGAAUGAUUUCAAUGAUGACGUGGAUGAGGUGCGUGUGAUUUCGGUGGAUGGCCUGCACGGCAGCCGAAAUCACCUGUCUCCGGUAUUUACCCUUCGCUCUUGGGGAAACCGUGCCAAAACCCAAGAGGGAGAAGUUGCACUUAACUUUGUCCACUUAUUUAAUAUGUAACAGUUCAAUAAAAUAGUUUGUAGAAUUUUUAA